rnacentral:lncRNA from 1 species
AGCAUUUCCUGGUUUGUUAAAGGGUCGAAAAACCCCUACAGCAAAUGCCAAAAAAAGACCCAGCAAGUCAACACCAGUGCAGUUUUUUUUUUUUUUUUUUGAUAAACAAGACCACUGAUAGAACCCCAAAGGCCUCCGAUGAGUUAACUCUUUUACAGGCUGGAUUAGGACGGAGGACUGUUGCCAUCCCAGAAGAUGCAAAUCACUCAGAGAUAUCCAAACUUCUUACAGAGACGUAUACAAAAAUGGCAUCUUUGGAAGGAGCCUGGAUGCUCUAUAAAGCUGUUGAACACCAAAGACCCUGACACUGAAGUUCCAUCAACAUCCACUAAAUUGGAUACAUUUAGUAGCAAUUUCAAGGAUGAAUUGGAUACUGUGAAUUCAUUUGUGUCAGUGAUGGAUCCAAUGGUAUCUUGUCCAGUGUGUUCUGGCAUGUAUUCACAAGACUACAUUGAAGUACACGCGAGCACCUGCGGGGAAAGAUGUGAAAAUAGACCAAACAUGGAUUUGGACAUUACUGUGCAAAACCCAGACAAGCAAAGCAGCAUUACAGAAGUAAUCCACAAACUCAAAGAAGCAAUAGAUCCUACAACUAUUUUCAGUGUCUGCGUCACAAGGGAGGACAUGUUUAAUCGAGGCUUGAUGCAAUGGAAACGUCAGAAGUCUUCUCCAAAGAAUCCCCUCAGAGUAACAUUCAUUGGAGAGCCUGGGAUAGACUGUGGUGCCCUUAUGAAAGAAUUCUUGACAGAAAUGAUGGCUGGGAUUGAGGCAAAAUUCUUUGAGGGAGGCAAUUCUGGGAAAAAUCUGAAGUAUUCUACCACAGAUUUUCAGAAUGACAAUUAUAGGACAAUUGGUGAAAUCAUGGCUGUAAGCAUUACACAAGAUGGCCCUCCCCCUAACUUUUUUCAGGAGUGGAUCUACAAUUUCAUCUCUUCUGGGGACAUUGAUAAAGAUCAGUUGUCAAAGGCUACAGUUACAGAUGCAGAUCUGCUAGACCUCAUCGAAAAGAUUGAGACAGCGGACGCUACAGCUCUUCUUGACCUUUUUGAAAGAAUCCUCGGAUGUGGGUACACUGGACUUCUAACAUGUGAAAGAAAGGAGGACAUUCAAAGGUAAAUAUUAUUCUACAAUGUUUUUCACGUUUUUUUGCAAUCUUUGGAUCUGCCUUUAUAGUUUUUCUAUUUUUUGAAUCUUUAAUACACCACCGGUCAAACAUUUGGGGUCAGUAGGAUUUUUAAAUGUUUAAAUGUUAAAAUAAGCUUCUCCUACUCACCAAGACUGCAUUUAUUUAAUCAAAAAUACAGAACAAAUGGUAAAAUUGUAAAAUAUUAUUGCACUAUAAAAUAACUGUUCAAAAGUAGUUUCUAACCAAAUUUAAUGAUUUAUUUCAGUUUAAGAUUAAUUUUCAGCUUCAUUACUCCAGUCUUCAAAGUCACAUAAUCCAGGGGUGGGGAACCUUUUUUCCAUCAAGGGCCAUUUACAUUUUUGUAACAUUGUUUAAGGGCUAUACUAAAUUAUAAGGCUGCUUGAUUAUGGGAAAAAUCAUAAUAGCGGUUAUUUUGGUCAUAAUUGUAAUCACAAUUAUUUAAAACGAUUAUCAGUUGAAGUCAAAAUUAUUCGCCCACCUGUGAAUUUUGUUUUUUUUUAUAUAUAAAUAUUUCCCAAAUAAAGUUUAACAGAGGAAUUUUUCACAGGAUUUUCUUAUAGUAUUUUUUUCUUCUGGAGAAAGUCUUAUUUGUUUUAUUUCAGCUAGAAUAAAAGCAGGUUUAAAUAUUUUGAAACCCAUUGUAAUAGCUCAAUAUUAUUAGCCCUCUUAAGCAAUAUUUUUGAUUGUCUGCAGAAGAAACUACUGUUAAACAAUGGCUUGCUUAAUUACCCUUAUUAAUUUUUUGAAUGUCAGUUUAAGCUGAAUACUAGUAUCUUGAAAAAUAUCUUGUAAAAUAUAAUGUCCUGUCAUCAUAGCAAAGAUAAAAGAAAUCAGUUAUUAGAAAUGAGUUAUUAAAUCUGUUGUUUAAAAAUGGGUUGAAAAUAAAUAUUUCCAUUAAACUGAAACUGGGGGGAAAGGGUCGCUAAUAAUUCAGGAGGGCAAAUAAAUCUGAUUUUAUAUAUGCACAGUUAUUUUCCUCCCUGUAAAUAAGGAAAGGGAAAUAAAUACAAUAAAAUAAAAAUAUAAAACAAACUGCUUUAAGCAUCUUCACUGUCAAAAAAAAAAAACUUCAGCUACAAAAGUCCUUCAGUCAAGAGCAGUGAGAGAUUUUGUCAUGUUGUCAGCAGCAGGAAUAUUGCGCACUGCCACUUUAAGAAUAGAGCGGCUCAGAUAUGGUUUCUCUUUCUCGUGUCUUUUGAUUCUCAACUUGAUUGUUUUUUACACAAAUGAGAGUUAAUAUGAAUAAUCACUAAACACAGCGCUCUGACACAAAUGUGCAUGUAUUUGACCAUUAAAGCGCUCGCAUUAAGAUGGCAUUAGAUGCGUGUGCUCUGCUCGUCUCCGAGGCUAAGUGCGCACACACACAGUAGUGUGUUUAGAACUGUGUUGAAAAAAAUCUUCUCUCCGUUAAAGAGAAAUUGUGAGAAAAAAUAAACAGGGGGGCUAAUUCUGACUUCAACUGUAUAUAUAAUAAUAAUAAUAAUAAUACAACAACAACAACGUGUAGACCUGCUAGACCUUUUUUAAAGCUGUUUUUUUACCCCAGAGGUUGCAAAUUUUAGUGAUGCACAGUUUCAAUAAUCAAUAUGAGUUGCUGUAGUUGUGCUUUUUAAAUAUUUGGUAGCACUUUAAUUUAGUGUCUGUGUCACAAAACAGUCAAGUAUGCAUAAUUACAACUAACUUUAAAACAAACCUAUUUCUAGCCAUAUUGUUAGUACAUUGUUAAUUUUACUCUGUACUUAAAUGUUACAUCUUAAAAACUGUCCGAUUUGAAAGUAUAUGGUAUGUAGAGCACUGUAAACUAAAGUGUAACCUAAAUAUCAAAAUUACAUGUUGAAUUUGACCAUGACUGUCUGCUGCGAUAUGGUAAACACAGCAUAUGCUACCCGCUUGCACAUGCAUGUUCCCGUACCAUCACCUUGCCUGCACAGCACUUAGGGACUUACAAAGACUUUUUUAGCAUUAUGCAGCAGGCUGUUAGCAAAAGCAAAGAAUUUGGUCGUUCUUGAGAUCAAUUUAUAGAAUAC